rnacentral:lncRNA from 1 species
AUUUAAUCAAAUCUCUACAAUUUGAUGUGUUUAUGAAAUUUAGAAAAAUGCUUGGAAUAUGCUCUAUGUGAAAUUUUUCACUAAAGGUUUGACUACUCAAUUUGAAAAGAGAGGAAGAAAUGAAGAUGUUUGACUACUUAGUUUGAAAAGAGAAGAGUAGUUUGACCAAGAGGCACCAUUAUCCAUGAAGAGGUACGGC